AGAACGCUAAUAACGAACGAUUAUCCCCUAACAGCAUUGCAAUGGUGACACUAAUCCUUUGAUUGGUAUAUCUACGUGCCCCUUCCAACAAACAAUUAUCGGCAAUAAUUUUGAUUAAUUAAAAGAUUAAUUACCCCUUGUGGCUUCCUGAGUGAAGGUGUCAUACACUGGCCAACUGGACAGUAUAAAUUUAAUCUGCCUGGAGACAUUUAUUAGUGGUCAAACACCGUGAAAAUUACCGCUAAAUAUGAGGUGAUAAAAUCUACAAGAUUCAGUGAAUGUUUCAGGUAAACGACGUGGGUAAUUGUCAUUACUUAACAAAGCUUUAUUCUUUUCUGUGACUGAUUGAAUUAACGAUGCCUAAAUACUUAAAAAAGAUAGAAAAACAGUUAAUAAUUAUUGACAUUCUGACUUUGUUUAUGGUGUCAUUAAAUUUGCAAGUUGUAAUUACCGGUUAUAGGGCCUAUAGGUUGUAUGCCACUAUGUAAAUUAAAAAAAAAAAAAAAUACGUUUGCUGAUCAAUGCCCCACCUUCAAAUGAAAAGUGUCCCGGAAAUGAGUCUAAAAAUUAUGGCAUGUAUGGUCAUUGUAUUGACGGCAAAAACAACGGAAUUACACGAAAUUAUGAAAAUCGAGCACAUGUUACUGACGUAGUACACAGGUUUAUUGCGUAGUACACAGGUCUUUUGAGCGCGCAAUAUUCAAAGACGGCAAAAACUUCGUUGAACUGAUGAUAUCAUCUCCCCAAUAAAGAUAUACAACGAGGAAGGUGAAAUUGCUCAAGCAAAUUAUCAGAAGAAGACCUUCAAAGCUGCAAUCGGUGAAAUUCACUGUCCUGCUGAAAGUGUCCAAUGUGAAAGUUCAUCGAAAAGGCAGGAACUGCUAGGGGUUGUGUGGUUGAGCCUAGAUCUGACGGAUGGGAGGAUGAGUGCAGAAGCCUGCGUAUAAAGAUUCGACGCAUGGAGGAGCGAAUUACUGCUUUAGAGAGUCAGAAUACAAAAGUGGAGGACCCCGAAUUAUAAGCUGUGGAACAUCUAAAUUCUAAGUGAUACUCAAGAAGUCUUGGUUACAUUAGCAAAGACUAUCUUCACUGUGGAGGAACUUAGAACCCACUCUAGGACUGGAAAGAUGACCAAUAAGUGCAAGGAUUCCCCGAGACCACCACUUGAACCCUUGAAACUCAGCAAUCUUUAAAGACUAGUGAGGAAGAAAACCGGUGUAUCAAAAGAAGUAUUUAAUAAAAAACUAGAGAACUUACAAAAGGUCAUCAGAAGGAAAUAAAUCACAAAAUAAGUGAAACAUUGGAACUAAAAAAACUAAUUUCAAGUUCUUGGUUUUUGCACUUUUGAAAAUCAGCAAGCUGUAUUGAAGAAACUAUUUCUUAGUUCUUGUUAAACAAAGAUGUGUAGUUUUUAAAUUUUACAUGUAGUUUUACAUGUUUGUGGUUUACUUUUGAACAAUAUAGCUUAGAGCUUAUGUUGAGUACAUAUUGUUUAGACUUGUCAGUCCGCAAAUUGAUUGGUAUCAUCUGUCUGCUCUGUUCUUGCAUUUUUCAUAAAUGUGAAAUAAUGUAAAUGUAGUUUAGGAACUGUUCAUGAACUGUAGUACUUGAACUGUUCUUGCACUUUUUGUGUUUUAUUAAAACAAUAUUAUUAACUUUAGGAAAUCUUAUUUGGGAGUAAGAGUGCAUCUUUAACAAGGAAAUAUUAUAAAACAAAGCAGAAGAGAAUAACCAAAAUAACUGUUUAGUUUAGGGAAAUAUUCUACAUCUAAAAAAAUGUGUUGAGACUCAAUACUUACUAUUAUAUAUAUAAAGCCAACAAAUGUAUAUAAAAUAUUUGCUAUUAUAUCUGCUCUUUGGAAUGAUUUUGUAUUUUCAACUACUAUAUCCAGUGAUUUUUAUGCCCCCGAAGGUGGGCAUAUUAAAAUCGCACUGUCCGUCCGUCCGGCUCUGUAUUUGGUAGUAUUCUACCAAAAUUUACCGCUGGUAUUUCAGUGGAAUUCCACUGGAAAACCAGCGAUAAACUUUAAAUGGAAUACCACAAAAGUUUACCGCUGGUAUUUCAGUGGAAUUCCAUUGGAAAACCAGCGGUAAACUUUUAGUGGAAUACCACCAAAUUUUACCGCUGGUAUUUCAGUGGAAUUCCACUGAAAUACCAUCGGUAAAAUUUGGUUGAAUUCCACUGGUAUUCCAG